rnacentral:lncRNA from 1 species
GUUAGUAAGGGUGGGGAAAGUCGAGAAGGAGGUUUGGAAAAUGCUUUCCCUUCUCUUGAUAAGGAAAAUAUUUUUCUCCAAUUUGAGGAAAAUAAAUUGAGAAGGAAAAUAUUUUCCAAAACAUUUAAGCCAACCAAACAUGGAAAAAUUGGAAAAUAUUUUCCGAAAAAUAUUUUCCUUGAUACCAAACAAACCCUUCUCUUUUUGUUUUGUUUUAUAUGGCUAUUCGUAGAUAAUUGAAAUGGAGCAACAAUAACAACAACAAAAGAAAUUCAGUAUAAUUUUACGAGUGGGAUUUGGAAAGGAUGAUGUGUAACUAAACCUUACCCCUAUCUUUAAGGGUAGAG